AUGCAGUCGAACGAAGUAGCAAUACUUAGUGGCAGACGGGUGAGUAACAUGUAGGUAUCUGCCCUUUGGCCUGGAAUAACACGAGGAAACUUGUGCUAAUACCGGAUAAGUCUUUACGGAGAAAGCUUUAUGCACCAUUGGAUGAGCCUGCACUUGAUUAGUUUGUUGGUGGGGUAAUGGCCUACCAAGACUGUGAUCAAUAGCUGAUUUGAGAGGAUGAUCAGCCACAUUGGGACUGAGACACGGCCCAAACUCCUACGGGAGGCAGCAGUGGGGAAUCUUGCACAAUGGAGGAAACUCUGAUGCAGCGAUGCCGCGUGAGUGAAGAAGGCCCUUGGGUUGUAAAGCUCUUUCGUCGGGGAAGAAAAUGACUGUACCCGAAUAAGAAGGUCCGGCUAACUUCGUGCCAGCAGCCGCGGUAAUACGAAGGGACCUAGCGUAGUUCGGAAUUACUGGGCUUAAAGAGUUCGUAGGUGGUUGAAAAAGUUAGUGGUGAAAUCCCAGAGCUUAACUCUGGAACUGCCAUUAAAACUUUUCAGCUAGAGUAUGAUAGAGGAAAGCAGAAUUUCUAGUGUAGAGGUGAAAUUCGUAGAUAUUAGAAAGAAUACCGAUUGCGAAGGCAGCUUUCUGGAUCAUUACUGACACUGAGGAACGAAAGCAUGGGUAGCGAAGAGGAUUAGAUACCCUCGUAGUCCAUGCCGUAAACGAUGUGUGUUAGACGUUGGAAAUUUAUUUUCAGUGUCGCAGCGAAAGCGAUAAACACACCGCCUGGGGAGUACGACCGCAAGGUUAAAACUCAAAUGAAUUGACGGGGACCCGCACAAGUAGUGGAGCAUGUGGUUUAAUUCGAAGAUACGCGCAGAACCUUACCAACACUUGACAUGUUCGUCGCGACUUUAAGAGAUUAAAGUUUUCGGUUCGGCCGGACGAAACACAG
rnacentral:rRNA from 1 species